rnacentral:rRNA from 1 species
GUAGGGUGCAAGCGUUAAUCGGAAUUACUGGGCGUAAAGCGUGCGCAGGCGGUUGUGCAAGACAGAUGUGAAAUCCCCGGGCUUAACCUGGUAACUGCAUUUGUGACUGCAUAGCUAGAGUGCGGCAGAGGGGGAUGGAAUUCCGCGUGUAGCAGUGAAAUGCGUAGAUAUGCGGAGGAACACCGAUGGCGAAGGCAAUCCCCUGGGCCUGCACUGACGCUCAUGCACGAAAGCGUGGGGAGCAAACAGGAUUAGAUACCCUGGUAGUCCACGCCCUAAACGAUGUCAACUGGUUGUUGGGAGGGUUUCUUCUCAGUAACGUAGCUAACGCGUGAAGUUGACCGCCUGGGGAGUACGGCCGCAAGGUUG